UCUCUGCAGCAAUGUUAUUUCACAGAGUUCUGGAACUGUACUUCCAUUGCCCCUUACCUAUAUGUUGAAACACAGUGGAGGUAUGGGAUUGGACAACCAGUCAUCUACAAGAUCCCUCAGCACAAGUCAGGGAGGGAACCCUUAUUUCAAGUAACAGCCCACUCACAUCCAGACAUACAGAGGCAAUUUCAAUGUACUACAUAUGAAGGCUUUGUCAAAAGUGUAUUUAUGACAAAGAAGCUUUGAAAUCAGUGUGGAUGUGGAUAUUAAAACUACUUGAAGGAUGAGGAAAAAGAACUCUUUCAAAGAUCAUGCAUUUAUGAAAGAAGACAGCAUCAGCACUGCCUUAAGAUUCCAGUUGAGACCUUUCUUUGUGUACACAGUCAGAAGAUAAAAAAAGAAGAAGACAAUCACAGAAUGAAACACAUGCUAGCAGAUCUUUCUGAUGUAAAUAUGAAUAAUAGAAGUUUAUAAUCCUUUCUUUUUUUCUGUCAUUGAAAUACUGCAGUGAUAAACUACAAUUUUACAACAAAAAUUUUUAACAUGAAGAUUGUAGCUUAUAUGGCUUUUUAUUGAAUUAUCUCCCUUGACUACAGAUUCUUAAUCAGUAUUAUUUCAGAGAGUGGGAGAGGUUUUGUUCUGAAUUCUGCCGAUUUGAAUUCAAGCAUAGUAUAUGACCUUAAUACAAGUAUAUAUCACAAAUGAAAUUAAUUGCUACUAUCAAACUAUUUACAUAUAUUGUACACAAAUUAUUGGUCUUCCCAGAGUUAUUUCCCUCGUUCACAGUGGAAAAAUAUCUUUUAGUAUCAAUGACACGUAUGACUGUUUUGCUAAAAGCUUAAGAACAUAAAAUUUAUAUAUAUGUUAACUUUCCUCAUUGUGUUAAACAUCUGUCAAUCUUCUGUACAAGUAUUCAAUUAUGUUGAAA